GACAGAAAGAGAAGGAGGAAUCGGAACAUUCAAAUUCAGAGAAUACUUCAAACUGAGAAGAUCCUGCCAUGGAAAAGACGAGGACAUAAAGUGGACAUGGAGGGGAAAUGACUCCCACUAUGCAGCAGGACACCUUCAGCUGCGGGGUCUUUGUAAUGCAGAUGGCCAAGGAAGUUGCACAGAACUUCSCCAACAUCCCCUCCCAAAUUGAUAURGAACCUUCACAAAAACACAUGGAGCAACUGCGAAAARWAAUGGCUGAGGAUAUACUAAAAAUGUCUGGUAUGUAAUGACAUUUAAUUCAAAGUAAAUGUAAAUUAUUUAUUUUUAUGUAGUUUUGUGGUGACAGCCAUAUGUUCAGUUCAUGCCUAUGAUUUCAGAGUUCAACAAAGCCAACAACUGCUUCAUGUGUGCSACUGAUAAAGAACCUGGAUGUGGUCCAAAGACUGACUGAGUUAGUAACUUUAUUUAACAUGUUUAUAAUCUUUUGACAACAGUGACAGCAUGCAAGACAAUU